CACUCCCUCUGGGGCACCUGGCAUUGGCCACUGUCGAUAGACAGAUACUGGGCUAGAUGGACCUUUGGUCUGACCCGGUACUGCUGUUCUUAUGUUCCUAUGUUCUUAUGCCCGAGAACCCACAUAUGCCAUGCUAGACACGGGUACAAAGCCAUGUACAUGUGUAUACCCGCAUCCGUGCUGCCUCUGUUGGUACUCAAUGUUAGUGCUACCAUUUCAGGCCUGGUAUCCCAGGAUUCUCUGCAUCACAGUGAGACACUGAAGGAACAAAUCUCUUUGUUGUGCUUUGUUGGUACUAUUCCCUGCUUUCACACAUUUGCCAAUGCUAGUUCCUGAUCAUGCCUCACGGUUAUCCCUGCAAAACUGGAUGGAAAACAUGGAGCAAAUGGGCAAAUGAUCUGGUUCCAGUUCUGCUCCUGCUCCUUUAUACGGGAGAAAUGGUUAUGCAGUGGUGUAGAUGCUUGUCAAGAUGUUGGAUGAAAUUUGGGCAGCAUUUUCUGACAUGUCAAAGAUGGCUGACCUUGAAGUACUUAACAAUUCAUUCAGCUUACACUGUACAGGUAUAGUGAAUGCUGGUAUUUUCACGGUAUUUCAUGCCCUUUGGUUGACUGUCACUUCUGGUGUAGGAGAGCCAGCACUGUGGUGGGAUCACAUUGUUUUGAACACCUGAGAUGACCAGCAGUGGCUUCAGAACUUCUGAAUGAGGAAACAGACCUUCGUGGAGCAUGAACCAAUCCUUCAACACCAGAACACUCAGUACAGGGAAGCCAUACUGGUGCAGAAGAAAGUGUCUAAUGCUCUGUGGAAACUGGCAACACCGGACCGCUAUUGAUCCAUUGCAAACCACUUUGGGGCUAGAAACCCAUUGUCUCUGGGGUGCUGCUUCUGACUCUUGGUGGCAUGGUUUUGCUCUCAGGAGCCGAAGUUCCUGCCAAUGCAAAGAGAAGGAGAUCAUUAUAUUUCUGGCCUUUUGAAGAAGCCAAGAUAUCCUCCAAACAGGGGUGCUGGAACAAUUUGUAUAGUGGGGGUGCUGAGAGCCAUCGAACCAAACUGUAAACCCUGUAUAUGAUGGAAACCACUUAAAGCCAAGGGGUGCACCAGCAGCCCUAGCAUCCCUAGUUCCAGCAUCUAUGCCUCUGUAAGUUGGUUGUGAAAGGCCAUAAUUCUGAUACUUUUCAGCAUUCCAGGAAUGUAACUGUCCUACUAUCCUUGGUUCAAGAUAAUUUUUGCAACCCAUGAGGCAUGAGCAGAGGCUGGCAAUGGUAAGAAAAUUGUAUUAGUGUUUUUAGUAAUGUAAAAUGUUCAUACUUACUCAACAGGGAUAGGGGGAGAUGGGGCAAUUCUUUCAAAUGUUACCAAUUUACAAUUUCUUCUCUGAAGGUGGGCCAAAACUUGAAGAACAUAGCGGUUUUCAAAGUACCAGAAUGGAAAAGAGAAAUGGCUGACCAUGCCUGCGGAGGAGACCCAGUAAUCUGUGCCAGAAAGAUGUUUCUGCUAAUGGUCACUCCACUGCAUGUGGCUGAAUGGAUUGGUUUGGUCAGCUGUGAAGGUGGACAAGGCAGAUUUGCACUGUGGGCAAACCUGAAGAACCAGGUGGAGUUUGCUGCAACAGAAAUUUGCUGAAAUAUGCUUGCAUGAUUGGAAAUUGACUACAUUGUCAGCUACCAUAUGGAAAUUUCAUGCAGAAGGAGAUCUGAACCACCAACCACUACCACCUCUGGGUUUACCAGAAAUUCUUGUGCCUGAAUAUGGACAGGAAAAGAGAGAUGCGCUGCAGCUUCAUUUGGUUUCCUGAAGAUUCAGCUCAGCUUCACAACCCUCACCUUAGACAACUGGAAAGUGACACUGUUUUUAUCCUAAUGCCAGACUGGAUCUUUCUCCCACCCCUGCUACAGCUGGCUUGCAUAGCAUGGCUCUGUGAAGGACCAUUUUGGGGUGGAGCAGUAUGGGGGCCAGAUGAAGGAAGAAAACCUGCGUGAGUUUGGCAUAAGGUCUUUCCCCAAAGUGAGGCUGUCACAACUCUUUUGACAUGAAUUUGGUUCAUUCUUCAGAACAUCAUCCUGGAAGGACAAGGAUCACAGCCAAGAUCUUCGUUCAACUCUCCCUAGUUCCCAUUAGCUUCAGCCACGUUGACCUGCAUCUGCCAUUUCAAUGGAAUACCAGAAAUCAUUGGGUUAAACAAUGUGAUCCUAUGAAAAGAACAGUUGGAGUAAUGGUUGUGACUUUGGUUCAAAGUGUAUGGCAGACAUUUCUGAGUGAAGGUCAUGGUGUUAGCAAAAUAUAAUUGGAACAGGAGAAUGGAAAAAGGUCUAUCCACUUUAAUCAUUCACUAUUAUUCUCCACAUUCAGUCUGUAUAUACAACCCAGGGGCGGCUCUAGACAUUUUGCCGCCCCAAGCACGGAGGGUCCACUGGUCCCGGGACCUGCGGACCCUCGGCAGGCAAGCCGCCGAAGGCAGCCUGCCUGCCGCCCUCCCAGCGCCGGCAGAGCACCCCCCGCGGCUUGCCGCCCCAGGCAAGAGACCAAGAGACCCUUGGAGCGCUGGUGCCUGGAGCCGCCCCUGAUGCAACCCACCUUUCAGCAUUUGUUACACAUCCCUAUCUGUGCCUGACCCACAGCAGAUCUUAGGCUGCUAUGCUCUCAGCUAGAGGAAUUCGUCCUUUACCUCAAGCUGAAGAAGCUCUAUCUCAGGAUCAAUUCCUAGUGACAACAUGGAUAAACAGUUAAGGGGUGGACAGGGAGGUAUUUUCUCCUCUCCUCUUCAUCACAGGCUAACCAUGUGUACAUAUGCACACCAUUGCUUUAAACUAGAUGGAAUAAUGAUGCAAGGAAGAAAAGGACUGGUGCCUAAAUGUAACACACUGACUUCAUUGGGAUAAAAAGGCUGAAAACCAAGAUACCGCAAACUCAGUUUCAUCAGAAAUUCAGUCAAAAUGAAUCCUUGUUCAACUAUACAUAAAAUAAAUAAUGCAGAUUUUCUGAUUCCCCCCAUGCUGCUGACUGUAUUUGGACACUCAUAUGUAGGAAUUCUAUUGAAGCCUGACAAAAAUCUAAUUUGUGGUUCAGUUCAAUGCCUGUAUUUAGCACAUGAGUAAUACAUAGUGUUCCUCUGACCACAAAGCUGAAGAGAAAGAAAGUGUAGCUAUAUAGUAUAGAUAGAAAAAUAUAAGAGUUGAGACUGAGGCCUGGCCUACAUUGCAAAGAUAGGUUGACAUAAGCCUCCUUGAAUCAACCUAGUUGUUCAUGUGUUGACACUUAGAUUUGUCUCCCAUUGAUGUAAGAUCUCCAUUACACCAACAUGUUAACACCACCUCCCAGAGUGGUGUUGAGCUAUGGUUGAUGUAUUAAGGUCAAUGCAGUGCAAAUGUGGACAUUGCACUACCUAUGUCAAUCCUAACAGUCCUCCCCCAGCAGCUAUCCCAUAAUUCUUGACACUGACCGCACUGGUCACAAUUGUGAAUUUUGCAAGUUUUAGAAAUGCCUUUUCCUGAUUGUCCAGCAUGGUGAGCACACCUAACAGUUCUCCAUUGCCGUGUGCAACUGCCCAGCUGACCAGGCCAGCUACAUGCUCCAGAUGUGUUCCAACUUGGAGUUGACAGGAGAUAUUGGAUCUCAGGGGUGUGUGGGGAGAAGAUCCUGUGCAAACACUGCUCUGGACUAGCCAUGGAAAUGUGGACAUCUACAAGCAGAUUGCAUGGGGGAUGCAUGAGCAGGGGUACAACAGGAAUCAGUAGCAGCACCACAUGAAGGUGAUGGAACUGCAACAGGCAUAUCACAAGGCCAGGGAGGCCAACAGUUGAUAUGGGCUUGAACAACAGAACUUUUACAAAGAGCUGCAUGCCAUACUUGGCAAAGACCCUAUCCCAUCCCCACAGCACUAUGGAUAUAUCUCGAGUCACAGGCCCUAGAUGUGAACAGUGAGGAGAAGGAGGAGGUGGAGGAGAAUGGGGGACAUAUGACCAAGAGGUCCAACCAUGCUCUGAGCCAGGACCUGUUUGAGACUCCACUACAAUAUAGUGCGUUCCAGACAUCAACCACGAAUGAGCCUGAUGCAUAGAAAGGAACUUGGGUAAGUGUGUAAAUUUAUUUCCCAUUAUAGAGAUGGCACCCCAAGCUUAGCAGGACACAACUAUUGACUUUCCAUUAAUUUACUCAUACUAGAAGAAGUGUCAGUACAUUCCCCUGUAGAGUUAGGCAGUGGGGGCAUGUGAAGCAGUUUGUUCUUGUACACAGGGAUGUCCCUUGAAUCCUCCUGAGAGAUCUCAGUGAAACUUUCAUGGAGAUACUGUGCAAUCCUCUCCUGAUGGUUUCUAGGAAUGGCAGCCUUAUUUCUUUCACUUAUUUCUUCCUUUCACCCUCCCAUGCCAGUUGGUGAUAAUUGCAGCAGUCAGCAUUGCAGGAAACAGGCUAGCAGCAUACGGGCCAGGGCAAUUCAGGACGUCACCAGCAGCUGUGCUCGUUGUACCUUUGUUACCCUCAGGUGUGAGCGGGUAGCUAAAAUCACCACCACCUGCAUAAAAUUAUGCCAGUAUUCAGUUCCAUCACUCAGUACUCAUAGUUGCAUGCAACCGAGCAAUUCCCUCCUCAUUUCUUCCUCCCUGGUGGGCCAUACUCACUAUGAUUGAAGCUGUGAGUGAUGCUGUAGUGUGCACAAGCACUCCAAAGUGUCAGUAAGCCUGUCUUGUUUAAAACUUUAGGGGAGCACAAGAAGGGAGUUCUGAAUCUUAACUUUUGCUUUCCAUUGUGAAUAUACUGACAAUGGCACCUCUGUGUGUUUUAUCUGUAGCUGCUGCUGUUAAGGCCUCGAGGGAUUCCCCAUCGACACUCGUGGAAUACCUGAGCCAGUUAAGGAGAGUAAAGAAGAGGACUUGGGAUGACAUGUUCAAUGAGAUCCUGCAAGCCAGUGCUGCAUCAGAUGGUGAACAGUGGACUGGAAGGAUGACUAUUGUAUACUGAAUGGAGAAGGAAAGAGUGGACAGGAGAAAGGCCCAGGAGUCGGAGUGGGAGAUGCACUAGGACAUUAUGGAGCUUCUCUGGCCUCAAACACAGAUACUCCAGACUCUUGCAGACCUCCAGGUACAACAAUCCUGGCCUUGCCUCCCUUUGUGGUCCAUGGAGAACUUAAAUAAGCACUUUCCUGCACCCCGUCAACAAUCCAUGUGGCAUCAAGGGCCACAUCCCUACCCCAUCACUCCACACCAGGGGACAUUAAGGACAGCCACAGCUUCACAUACACUGACCUGUGAGCACCACGGUUGAUGUAUGUAUAGCUAAAAUGGACAUGAAUACUCCUUCCCCUUCUUUAAGCUCUGUUCCUUACAUUUGUCAAGG